rfam:Schistosoma mattheei strain Denwood, Zambia genome assembly, scaffold: SMTD_contig0008784
GCACUACUGAGGAGCCCCAUACUAGGACGAAACGGCCGUCCAGUGC